AAUGACUUAAAUCUACUCAUGUCAUCAAUAACAGUACGUAAUGACAUUCCUUCACCGACACAACCUAUAACGCUUAUUUGAUUAAAUCCCAGCCAUAGGAAUCUUGUUUGAAUUUGUUUGUAUAAAGAUGGAAAAGUAGAAAGCCAAAACCUUUCUUUCCCAAUGUUAAUGAAUCGUGAAAAAUAAACAAUAAGUGAUAAAUGUGGCCUUGGUUGGAGGUUUCAGUAUCAUCCAUAUCAGUUAUCGAAGUAUCAAAAGGGAGAUGAUUGUAAUACUCAUUGAGUUUCCAGUACAUAGUGAAGGUAAAUGUGACAGAAUCAUACAUAAUAUCGCCGACGAUAGGACACUGCUCGUAUAAUCGAAUAAUAAAUGUCGAAUUGGAUAGCAAUAUUCACUAUUCAUUCAGUAGAUAUUCAAUGGUGGUACAAAAUGAUCCUUCAAGAUACCAACAGGAAGAAAUUCCAUAUAAAACAAAGUUCUCCUAUAAACACAGAUGAACUUUACAGCCAGUUUACAAACAUAAACCUUGACACUCUUUUAUGUGAUUCAAGUAACUAGAUUUACUUUUGAUCUUAGCCACAGACCGAGAAGCGAUCGAAACUGUAUAAAUGAUUCGAGGCAUUAACACCUAAAUUCAAGAAAUAAAACAUGGUUCAUUGAUUUCAUUAAUUCUUUAUUCAUUGAUUGAGGACUUUCAAGUCCUAUUAGUGCCAUACUAUUUUGAACAAUAUAUACAUUUUUCUGACUUUGAUUGUCAUAACUCUGCAGUUAAAAACAUAAAAUUUGAGUAUUUGAUACUAGGUACUUCUGUGAUAAAAUUGACUAGAUUCUGUUUGAUUUUGUUGUAUAAUUAUGCGUCAUAUAAAUAGACAUAUAUGACUUUUUGACACCAAUGAACUUUAAAUAAUAUGUGGUCUGAUUUGGUACAACAAUGAUCAAAUAGGAUCUUUCUCUAAAAGGAAAGUUGUGUUUAUAGUGUUCUCAACACAAAACAAAAAAUUGUUGCAAUAAUUUAAUAAUAAAAUUAAAUAUGUGGUUAAAUAAUAUAUCCUGGAAAUUUUUAUAUUAAAUUUAUUUCGAUAUACAAAAUUGUAUAAUUGAAUGGGUUAAUAAAUAAUAAACAAAUUAAUUACAAAUUUCUACAAUUAUGGUACAAUAUACUUUGAUUUUUACAAUAUUUGCUGUUAAAGGCACUCUAUAAUUUACAGUUUGAUGGCUGGACCUAGCGUAAAGUUGACUAGUGACAUAUUCAAUUUCAGAAGAAAAAGUAACAAAUGACAAUGAAACAUAACAAAUACUAAGUACAAUUGAUUUUUUCUACUUCCGUGAGGCGGUUUUUCUAUUUCACAGAAAAUAUAAGUUGCUGAAAAUUCAGAAAAUAUUUGGACUUCACAAGAAAAAAGUAUUCACAAAUUAUUAGGUAUAACAAAAUUCAUAAUUUCAAAUGUAUCUUGAAGACUGACCCAAACGGCCGUAGAAAAAAUUACAGAUGCAGCAUGUAAUGGAAAAUGUUCAUUCCACCUAUCACAUUGAAAAAAAAA